UACAGAGGUCCCGAGCGUUGUUCGGAUUCACUGGGCGUAAAGGGUGCGUAGGUGGUGAGAUAAGUCGGAUGUGAAAGCUCGGAGCUCAACUCCGAAAUGGCAUUGGAAACUAUCUCGCUCGAGGGUUGGAGGGGGGACUGGAAUGCUUGGUGUAGCAGUGAAAUGCGUAGAUAUCAAGCGGAACACCAGUGGCGAAGGCGAGUCCCUGGACAACUCCUGACACUGAGGCACGAAAGCUAGAGGAGCAAACAGG
rnacentral:rRNA from 1 species